rnacentral:rRNA from 1 species
GAGAUCCUACGGGGGGCAGCAGUGGGGGAUAUUGCACAAUGGGGGGAACCCUGAUGCAGCGACGCCGCGUGAGCGAAGAAGUACCUCGGUAUGUAAAGCUCUAUCAGCAGGGAAGAAAAUGACGGUACCUGACUAAGAAGCCCCGGCUAAAUACGUGCCAGCAGCCGCGGUAAUACGUAUGGGGCAAGCGUUAUCCGGAUUUACUGGGUGUAAAGGGCGUGUAGCCGGGCCGGCAAGUCAGAUGUGAAAUCCCAAGGCUCAACCUUGGAACUGCAUUUGAAACUGUUGGUCUUGAGUAUCGGAGA